rnacentral:lncRNA from 1 species
GGGAAGUAAUAUAAUAAAAGACACGAUAUUAAUGUACAAGACUAGAAAGUAAAAUAUAACAUGAAUGACAGACUCAAAACAAAAGUAUCUUUAAGCAGAUCUUGAAUGUAGUGCUCAUCGAGUAUAUGUCUUGCUCGAGUCCUGGUACAUGGAUCCAUACCUGAAUGAGAAAAAAUAAGACCAAAUAGAUCAAUGACUCAAAACAAUAUACGACACUACAACACCUCCUAUUGGGCACAUGCAAGACACGAUUAGGCUAUUUUUUGCAAAAUGACUUACGUGGCCAAGGGGUGAUAUUAAUAGAAACUCAAUAAAGGAGACCUCAAAGAUAUGGAAACAUCUCACUAAGUCUCAUAUGGCUUUAAACUCCUAAUAAUCAAGGACCUAGAAAUCACUUCGAAAAAAUAACCUAUUUUGCAAAAACGUUCGAUAUGGCCAGAAGUGGCUAAAGACAAAACUACAAAAAGGACAAACCUUAAGGUAAUAUGACACCUAGUUGUGGAAUCAAUAUCCUAAGACAUGGGACAUUGAACCAUUAAAUGACCAUAUUUUGCAAGAAUGGUCGAUGUGGCCAAAAGUGGCUGGACAUGCAAGAUUUGGCUACAACCCCGGAAGCCAAGAACAUAAGACUUACUAGGAAGACCGAACCCUAUGUGGGAUUCCCACAUAUCCCGCUCCGAAAGACGAGAAUCAUGUAUAUGUAGUUCAGAUAUACGGAAGAGAAUUUAAACAAAAGCAUUAGUUUGAAGAAAACAUAUUUCUUGAAAAAUGAUGAAAAAUGCAAAACUUUAUGGACUUUCUUUUUUUUUCUUUUUUUCCCUUUUGAAAAAUGACGGGACAGUACAAAAUCUUUUGAAUUUUUCAUUUUGAUUUCUUUUUUGUCUUUUCUUGAAAAGUUGUGAAAGAAAAAUAUAAAUGGGCCUACUUGCUUCAUUUUUUACACUUCUUCCUCUUUCUAUUUCAUUCGCACUCAACUAUCAUUGGUCCAUUAAAUCACCCUUUUACCCUCAAACAUGCGACAUGUAUCACAUAAAGAUGAUUAAUUAUCUUUUUGGGACAUGGUCCCAUUUGACAAAAUUUGGAUAGGCCUCCUAUAAAGGGAUACGGUGCUUGGGACCUAGCCCUACUAGGUCUAAAUGACAUGAUGGAAAUAAACAUAUCCUAAAGGAUGACCUAAGUUUGAGGUUCACUAAACAAGGAAAUUUAGGGCGGCACGUGGUCGAUAGUGGUUGCUCUAGUUGUCCGCCCACUCUACCCCUUUAAAGACACGAGUGACUCACAAAAGUUCGUGUACGCUCACACGUACUUCGGAAGACUUGUUGCAGAAAGAAGACCCAUGGUUAUGCAAAUAGUAAAAAUUAUAAAGCGAUAAACACAUAAGGAAAAGCGAUAAAACAAUAUCCAACAAAACAGGAGAUAAGACAAACAAACCAGAUAAACAAAGCAAAUUAAAAAAAACAACACCUCAACUAAAUAUCCUAAAAGCCAAUAAGAUCAAGUAUCAUCUUGAAUCUGCAAAUCUCUAACAGAGUCACCAAUGCUGUCACACCCAUUUUUUCACCUCAAUACCCCUCUUAAAAUAAACAAAAAGAAUUUGAAGCUCGAAAGGGUUUCUAAUUAUGAGAAGUGACAAUAAUUAGUGUUCAAAAAGGUUUUCCAGAGUCGCCGCCUAACGUUGGUUUCAGUGUGCCAGGUCACCAUUUUUAAAACUAAUUUUUUUCUUUUAAAACACUUUGGACUCCAAAACUAAGUCUGCACCAGAGAUUCGGGUAAGGGGAUUCACUUGACUCGGGGAGAAGGUGCUAGGCACUCCUAAGUCUUGUGAAAAUCGUGGCUGCAUACAUGAUCAAGUUGGCUUUUAACAUAUUCGAAUUUGAGGUAAUAAACACAAAAAUGAGAAAAUUAACACAUAAGAGGCUCAAGAUCGUUCCCACCUAAUAAAAAAAAGAUAAAAUUAAAAUAAAAUGAAAUAAGAAUAAAAGUACUACAAUUUUGCUUUCGGCCUCCAAUUAUAGAAUACUACAGUGCAUUCCCUAGGAUAAAAUAUGUAAAAAGUCUACGGGGUGUUCCCCGAUAAAUUUAACUAAUGGAACGACCCAUUGCCUCGAAUAAAAAGAAGAUAACAAGAAAACAUAAAGUUUGCCUACCCAGAUUUGGUCGGCCUAAACAUGCUAUUACGAUCCAAUUAAUUAAGACAAGCAAUAAAAAUACUUCAAUUCACUUUUAAAAUUCAAUCCGGUCCAACGGCAAAAUACGUGUUUUACUAUCUAAGCCAUCACCCAGUUCAUAUAAUAAAUUUUAACUUUGAAGCCACCUAAAAUUUUAAUCAAAACUCCUUAAACAUCCAUAUCUAAAUGAAUAAUUUUAAUAUGCAAUUAAAAGCCAUCCGAACAAGGAGUAAAUCUACGGAAAAGAACAGAUGAAGUAAAAAAAUAAUAGAACAGCAUUCAAAUAGAGCAAUGAAGUGUAGCUCAAACAUCCAAACAAAUGGAGAGACAAUAAAUAAAUAAAGAGAUUAAGCACAAAGAACGUAAGGAAGGAAGAAAUAGACCUCAAUGAAUCUGAAAUGUCAAAACUAUGGACAAGAUCUCUACUGGAAUGUCUCGCCGGGAACCUCACUGGAUUCUGACCGGGAAAAGCCACAGUAGCAGAAGCACGAACUACAAACGGUAUCUCCAAAACUUCAAACACUCAUCUCAAUUUCAUUCCAUUUCAAAUGAAAAUCUAGAGGAAGAAACGGAACUAUCCCUUUUUGUAUUUUUUUUUAUUUUGAAGUAAACAAAACCCACAAACCCAUUUCCUCUGAUUUCUCCUUCUGUGUGCGCGCGUGUGUGUGUGGGAUCGCCGGUCAGCUGGUGGCCAUUUCCUAUGAUGGCUUUGCAGCGGGAAAUUAGGGAUGAGGCAGUGAUAGUAUCUUAUGCCAUCGUCGAUGAUUAAAUCAAACAGGCAACGAGUCUUAUAGUCAAAGGAAUAGAUAUAUAAGGGUGAACUGGAUAUGGGAAACUAUGGUCAUUGGUUGUUCGGCAUAGAUAUGGAAAGACGGUGGUGUAAUAUGGCUUUCCAGUAGGUUUCGGGCGAAGGGGGAGGUGAUAAUGUCGGCGAAUUUGAGUGGUCGUUGGCAGUAGGGUGUGGUGGGCGGCUAGGUGAUUUUCUUAGCUCUAAUGUGUCUAUGUUUAGAAGAUGAAGAAGGUUUUG